rnacentral:lncRNA from 10 species
CUAUUUUUCUUUCCUUUUUUGAGACAGAGUCUCACUCUAUGGCCCAGGCUGGACUGCAGCGGUGUCAUAUUGGCUCAUUGCAACCUCCACCUCCCGGGUUCAAGUGAUUCUCCUGCCUCAGCCUCCUGAGUAGCUGGGAUUACAGGCGCGCACCACUGCACCCAGCUAAUUUUUGUAUUUUUAGUAGAGAUGGGGUUUCACCACGUUGGUCAGGCUGGUCUCGAACUCCUGACCUCAG